rnacentral:rRNA from 1 species
GACGAACGCUGGCGGCGUGCUUAACACAUGCAAGUCGAGCGGUAAGGCCCUUUCGGGAGUACACGAGCGGCGAACGGGUGAGUAACACGUGGGUGACCUGCCCUCAGCUCUGGGAUAAGCCUGGGAAACUGGGUCUAAUACUGGAUAUGACUCCACGGUGCAUGUCGUGGGGUGGAAAGCCUUGUGCGGCUGAGGAUGGGCCCGCGGCCUAUCAGCUUGUUGGUGGGGGA